rnacentral:tRNA from 1 species
UUGAAUAAAUCUAAAUUUUAGAAUUUAAUUUCGACUUAAAUGUAUGAUUUUUUAAAAUCUAUUCAAU